GGGAGUGUAGGUCAGCAAUAGAGCACAUGCCUAACAUGCAUGAGGCCAUGGGUUCAAUUCCUAGCACUGCAG
rnacentral:tRNA from 1 species